GGUUGUUGAAGUGAGAAAUGGCUCCUCAUGCGCUGAUAAUCAGUAAAUAGAGAUGCAGGGUACGCCGACCUGCCAAUAAUC
rnacentral:ncRNA from 1 species